rnacentral:rRNA from 1 species
UACAGAGGGUGCAAGCGUUAAUCGGAAUUACUGGGCGUAAAGCGAGCGUAGUCGGUUAUUUAAGUCGGGUGUGAAAGCCCCGGGCUCAACCUGGGAAUUGCAUUCGAUACUGGAUAGCUAGAGUUCGGCAGAGGGAAGCGGAAUUUCCGGUGUAGCGGUGAAAUGCGUAGAUAUCGGAAGGAACAUCAGUGGCGAAAGCGGCUUCCUGGACCAGAACUGACGAUCAGGCUCGAAAAGCGUGGGGGAGCAAACAGGG